ensembl:lncRNA
UGCUAUGUAGGCAUUGUGCCAAUUGUACUUACUCUUUUGCACACAUGCCAAAACGCUUAAAUUAAGAAAUAUGUGAUAUGGUGUGAGCAAGAAACUAAUUGUUUUGCGGAAAAUAAUCUAAUUUGAGAAUUGAGCCAAAGCGAUUGAGAAACUUGAAUGUUGUACUUCACAAUAUGCCAAAUCUUAUGUAGCUGGAUAUAAAAACCCAACUAGAAGGGACUGUAAGGUUUAUAACAUAGUUGAUUAAAUGACACAAUGUGAUCUGAACAAUAUAAUAACUGGAGUAAUCCCUUACAACAAAGAACAGCAUGAAUGUACAGAAAGAUUUAGUUUCCACAAAAUUCUCUUUCCAAAUGAACAUUUUAGCCUCAAUUAAUUUGUGAAGGUGUUAAAGAAUUUCUUUCAGAGUAAGCUCUUGAUGUUUAUAAUUAUGAGGUGUUUUGGCUGAUCAGAAUUCUGCCCUGGCACUAAAGCCACAUUAGUUACUAUAAACUAAUGUAACCACUUUUUAUAUCUCUUCCCUUUCGAUUAGGUAAUGUUGGUUCAUGUCAUAUUCAAAUUAGAUGGGUACAUGGAGUAGGGGAUACUGUGUGGGGGUUAAAACAAAGUAAAAUAUUCUGAAAACAGAUUUUAAUAAAAAUACAUUAAAUUGAUGACAAAAGCUGUAUUAUAUCAAAAAUAUUUUGUGUUAUUGUAAUAUGUAUUUUAGCAUUAAACAUGUUUUCCAUGAUCUUCAAAAGUUUUAUAUAUGAAUGUUCUAAAUGCUCAUUAACUCAUUACUAUACAAUAAAAUGAUAAUUGUCAAAUCUUGAAUCUGCCCUCGACAGCUGUUUGGGCAGCAGAGAGAACCAAGUCUGUGUGGGCCUGUGUUAAAAGCAGAAGAAAUGCUUUGGGUUGGAUACCCAGAGGAUUAUGGAUUGAGUGGGAAGAGCAGCAAAAGAAACAUCGUAAUCCUGGAAAAGAUCAUCCAUGGGACCUGGAGAGUAGCUUGUCUGACUACCAGCAGGUGAACGAACUGCUGAAUUCAAUUAAGAGAGCUUCCAGUCAGAAGCAGAUCCAAACCACUGGGACAGACAGCUGUGAUAGUAAACAACAUUCACCACAAGAUCAGCAUCAAAAGUGUACAUAUUUAAAACUAUGGAUAUGAUUAUAUUUAUCUAAGAAAAAACUGUUGACAAGAAUUUCAAAUGCUCAUAGCUAACACUGGAUUUUCCACUGACUUAGUGCCCAUCACCUUGCCUAUGGGAAAAACCAUUCCAGAAAAUCUUUUCCAGUUUAUCCUACCCUGAGUACUGUACCUGAGCAGAGUACAGAAGAAGCUGAGAGCCAAAAGCAGCAAAUUUAGACAGUGGAGGAAAGAACAGAAGAUUUGUUCAGUUGAGAUUUAAAUGGGUUUUCACAUUAAAAGAAUAAGUGUCUUCUGGACAACUGUCCUGUCAGCAGUCUUCCCCAUGAUUGUGGUUGUGUGUACAGAACCCGAUUGAGAGAUUGAAGUUUCAAUUAGCUGAUUAUAGCUCAGGUUGAAAUUUCUGUAGUGUACAUUUUUUAUUCUAAUAUUUUGACAUACUGGAUUUUUGAUUUCCAUGAGCUGUAAGCCAUAAUCAUCAAGAUUGAAACAAAAAUGGCUUGAAAUGUAUCACAUGUAAUUAAUAUAGAAUAUUGAAUUACAGAACAAAAUGAAAGCUUCCAGGAUAUUAGAUUUAUUUUUAGAUGCACAUGUAUUUUUGAUUUAACCAGGCAAGUUGAUUAAGAACCAAUUGUUAUUUACAUCAAUAAUCUGGGGGCAUUUUACAGGCGAAGGAGCAAUUAGUGUUAAAUGUCUAGUUUAAGGACAGAAUGACCUAGCCUACACCUUGGGAUUAGAACCAGGGACCUUUUAGACACUGAUCAGUUGCCCAAACCACUAGGCCAACUUGAAGCCCAAUACAAUAUUAAUGUUAUAUAAUCUUUAGGAAAGUAGUUUUUGGUGUCUAUGACCUUUUGACUGUGGUUUAUCAGUAGUUCAUCAUAUUGUAAAAUGCAAAUAAAAACAGAAUGUAAUAACCACUGUGUUGUAUCUCCUCUUCUUUUAAAAACACCCUAUAAGCAUUUGGGAACCGAGGAGACCAAUUGCUGUAGGUGUGAAAGUUUUCCCAUUCUUGGUGAUACCGGAUUG